AAACUGGACUCGUAAGUCCUGGAACAGGCUGCUCGGAUGUAAGUCCGUGCUACUCCGUCUGGCCUUGGCCCGCCUUUUGGCGUGAACGGUGAGAAUCGGCCCCCAGGGUGAGCCAGUUU
rnacentral:ncRNA from 1 species